rnacentral:lncRNA from 1 species
CCCCAAAAAAAAAGCUCUCUUAGUUUUCCAGAUCUAGAUUUGAAAUUCAAAUACUCAAAACAAUAGAAAACCUUCAAAAAACCCAAAAAAUACUGUUCAUCUAAGUUCUUAGAUAAUUUCAAGUGUUGUAACUGAUCUGCUCUUCCUUAGCCCAGUGUUUCGGUAAUUGGAGGUUUCAGAGUGUAUUCAAGCUUGUUUGUGGAUGUUUCAUUGGUAUAACUGUUGCUGUAGUGAUGUAUCACUGGUUUUGUUCUAAAUUCUUUAUGGAUUUGCUGUGUUUAGUGAGCAACUGCUGGAUUUUGAGCUGGUUAUAUUUGCUGGGUUCUGCUUACUGCUGUGCUGAUUCUCUGAUUUUUCUUUGCUGUGAACCCUUAUUUACUUAUAUUCUAUUCUCUAGGUACACAUUCUCUGCCUGUGUUGAUGUAACUUCACCUAUUGAACAUGAAAUACAAUUGAAGUUUGUUUGGUUCCAUGGAAUUGCAAUUCAAAAUCUUAUUAAGUCUAGAUAUCUUGACCUCUAUUUGAUUGAAUAUUCAAAGUUGUAUUAAUUGGACUGUAUAAUUGAGACAUCUAACUGGACAGUUGAAUAUAUAUAUAUUAAUAUACAGUAUUUAAUGAGAAUCAUGAAUGCUGAAUGUUAGUUUAGUCAGUGAUCAUUUGAACUAAGGUCCUGUAACUGAAUAAUCAUUACUGUUGUUUUUCUCAAUUUGAAUACAUUUUAGUAACAUCUAAAAUUAUCUGGGAUGAACUUUAUGUGAGUUUCAAUAUUCGAGAUAGAAUACACUACAAUAUGGCAUAGAAACCAGUUGGUAUAUUUCGGAAUUAAUUGGGUCAUUUGAAUGUGCCUUUUGUGCCGCUGAUUAAUACUCGACCUUGGGUCGUGUUCUCCAUGGGGCCUCGAAUUAC